rnacentral:rRNA from 1 species
AGUGAACGCUGGCGGUAGGCCUAACACAUGCAAGUCGAACGGCAGCACAGUAAGAGCUUGCUCUUACGGGUGGCGGGUGGCGGACGGGUGAGGAAUACAUCGGAAUCUACUUUUUCGUGGGGGAUAACGUAGGGAAACUUACGCUAAUACCGCAUACGACCUACGGGUGAAAGCAGGGGAUCUUCGGACCUUGCGCGAUUGAAUGAGCCGAUGUCGGAUUAGCUAGUUGGCGGGGUAAAGGCCCAGCAAGGCGACGAUCCGUAGCUGGUCUGAGAGGAUGAUCAGCCACACUGGAACUGAGACACGGUCCAGACUCCCACGGGAGGCAGCAGUGGGGAAUAUUGGACAAUGGGCGCAAGCCUGAUCCAGCCAUACCGCGUGGGUGAAGAAGGCCUUCGGGUUGUAAAGCCCUUUUGUUGGGAAAGAAAAGCAGCAGGUUAAUACCCCGCUGUUCUGACGGUACCCAAAGAAUAAGCACCGGCUAACUUCGUG